rnacentral:rRNA from 1 species
UACAGAGGUCUCAAGCGUUGUUCGGAUUCAUUGGGCGUAAAGGGUGCGUAGGUGGGCAGGUAAGUCAGUGGUGAAAUCUCUGAGCUUAACUCAGAAACUGCCGUUGAUACUAUCUGUCUUGAAUAUAGUGGAGGUGAGCGGAAUAUGUCAUGUAGCGGUGAAAUGCUUAGAUAUGACAUAGAACACCCAUUGCGAAGGCAGCUCGCUACACUAUCAUUGACACUGAGGCACGAAAGCGUGGGGAUCAAACAGG